rnacentral:rRNA from 1 species
GUAAGGAAUAUUGGACAAUGGACGCAAGUCUGAUCCAGCCAUGCCGCGUGAAGGAUUAAGGUCCUCUGGAUUGUAAACUUCUUUUAUAAGGGACGAAAAAAGGCUUUUCUAAGUCGUCUGACGGUACCUUAUGAAUAAGCACCGGCUAACUCCGUGCCAGCAGCCGCGGUAAUACGGAGGGUGCAAGCGUUAUCCGGAUUCACUGGGUUUAAAGGGUGCGUAGGCGGGCAGGUAAGUCAGUGGUGAAAUCCUAGAGCUUAACUCUAGAACUGCCAUUGAUACUAUCUGUCUUGAAUAUUGUGGAGGUAAGCGGAAUAUGUCAUGUAGCGGUGAAAUGAUUAGAUAUGACAUAGAACACCUAUUGCGAAGGCAGCUUACUACGCAUAUAUUGACGCUGAGGCACGAAAGCGUGGGGAUCAAACAGAAUUAGAAACCCGAGUAGUCC